CCUACGGGGUGCAGCAGUGAGGAAUAUUGGUCAAUGGACGAAAGUCUGAACCAGCCAAGUAGCGUGAAGGAUGACUGCCCUAUGGGUUGUAAACUUCUUUUAUAUGGGAAUAAAAUGUUCCACGUUUGGGAUUUUGUAUGUACCAUAUGAAUACGGAUCGGCUAACUCCGUGCCAGCAGCCGCGGUAAUACGGAGGAUCCGAGCGUUAUCCGGAUUUAUUGGGUUUAAAGGGAGCGUAGGUGGAUUGUUAAGUCAGUUGUGAAAGUUUGCGGCUCAACCGUAAAAUUGCAGUUGAAACUGGCAGUCUUGAGUACAGUAGAGGCAGGCGGAAUUCGUGGUGUAGCGGUGAAAUGCUUAGAUAUCACGAAGAACUCCGAUUGCGAAGGCAGUUCACUGGACUGCAACUGACACUGAGGCUCGAAAGUGUGGGUAUCAAACAGGAUUAGAUACCCGUGUAGUC
rnacentral:rRNA from 1 species